rnacentral:rRNA from 1 species
UACAGAGGGGGCAAGCGUUGUUCGGAAUUACUGGGCGUAAAGGGUGCGUAGGCGGGCAGGUAAGUCAGUGGUGAAAUCUCCGGGCUUAACCCGGAAACUGCCGUUGAUACUAUCUGUCUUGAAUAUCGUGGAGGUAAGCGGAAUAUGUCAUGUAGCGGUGAAAUGCUUAGAUAUGACAUAGAACACCCAUUGCGAAGGCAGCUAGCUAAACCGAUAUUGACGCUGAGGCACGAAAGCGUGGGGAUCAAACAGG